ACAAGAGGCUUGGUGACACGCACUGACUUGAUUCGAUAGCGACGAUUGAAGGUCCCACCCACACUGUGCAAGGUUCAGGACGUGCAGCUCUGGCAUUAGUGGAUCCGCGUAUCUUGUGUUGGACGUUGCAUGUUCGAACAUGCACGAGCCUCUCUAGCCUUGUCGAUGGAGAAUUCCCAAUGGACCUGAACUCUUGACACACUUUAAAAAACAUCUCACUUACUGGAUGUUCUUCUGCUGGCAAACAUUCUACUACAAUCAACUUGAAGAGUAUCCUGACCACCUGCUUCACGGUAUGGUACAGCAGCUGCACUGCUGCGGACAGGAAGGCACUACAACGGGUGGUGAAAACCGCGCAGCACAUCAUCGGUGCCCCGCUCCCUGCCAUGGAUGCCCUCCACCGAAAACGGUGUCUGAGACGGGCUGGGAAGAUCAUCAAAGACUCCUCACACCCCAACCAUGGACUGUUUGCCCUCCUCCCAUCAGGGAGGCGGUACAGGACCCUCAGGUCACGUACUAGUAGGAUGAGGAACAGCUUCUACAACAACACAAUCACACUGCUGAACUCGGAGUCCCGCCGAUAGAUUUCUCCGGUCCCUCCGUCCCCAUUGUUUAAUUAUUCUGUAUUUUUUGAUUAUUCUGUAUCUUCUCUCUUUCUAUUUUUUUAAAUUUCUUUAUGCACAACUACUACGAAAUGACGCAAAACUGCAUUUCGUUGUACUCAUACUUGUAUUUGUGCGAUGACAUUAAAGUUGAAUUGAAUUGAAUACUUCAUAAUGAAAUCAGGAGGGCAAAAAGAGAACAGGAGAAAGCUCUGGCAGAUAAUAUUAAGGGAAAUCCAAAAAGAUUUUAUAAGUAGUGUGGUGUCAGGGAUGACAAUGGUUCUGGCUGUGACCACACCAACACUCGCUGUAUGGUUAACUCGCAUGUUAUCUGUUAUUUGCAGCGACAAAAAAGUCAAGGACCACAAGAGGGCACUGAUCAUCAGCGCAUAUGUGCAGCAGUGCUAGCAAUCUCAGGCAUGUCUCAGCAGCUCAGUCCUGGUUUUAAAGGAGGAGGCAGUGUGAUCUCAGGCUUCUCCCUGCAGUUCCACCUUGCCUCAAGAGGAGUCGCUAAUAUUCUCAGACAUAUCCUGGCAGCUCAGCGUUGGCGAAACGUUCGCUAUUCCAUGGUCUCCAGAGAUGCUACCUGACCCUCUGAAUUAUUCCAGCACAUUGUCCUUUAUUUUAUGUUAACUCUAGAUGUAGGGAUAAAUUCUAGGAUAGGUUUAGAAGGAUAAGGUCCAAAUGCAGGCAGUUGGGACGAGUGUAGAUAGGACAUGUUGAUCAGUUGGGCAGGUUGUGUUUCCAAGAGGGACCUGUUUCCAUGCUCUAUGAUUCUAUCUCUCUCCACAGAUGCUGCCUGCCCUGCUAAGUAUUUCUAGCAUUUUCCUUUUUUUUUUUUAAAGCUCCAAAGCCUGGUAUUUUGCCAGUCACUCUGAUAAACAUAGAAAAUAGGUGCAGGAGUAGGCCAUUCCGCCCUUCGAGCCAGCAGCGUCAUUCAAUAUGAUCAUGGCUGAUCAUCCAAAGUCAGUACCUCGUUCCUGCCUUCUCCCCAUAACCCUUGAUUCAUAGCCCUAAGAGCUAUAUCUAACUUUGAAUACAUCCAGUGAAUUGGCCUCCACUGCCUUCUGUGGCAGAGAAUUCCAGUGCCUUCGGCAGAAAGUCUGAUUUGUGACCUGAUUUCUUUUCUUCUACCCAAUACUUCUUGAUGUACUGGAUAGUAAAUUUAGCUGGAUUGGCUUUUAUAUGAGCCAAUAAAUUCAAUAAAUGCUUGGAAAUCUGAGACUCACUUCAUAAUCAAUAAUAAACCCAAUGAAUCCAAACAUAAACUAUGGAUUAAACAAAAUUAAGAAACACAAGCACCAUUUUGAGUCAUGCUCUCUUUGCAACGAGGCAUGGCAAUUUUGUUUAAUUUGGCAAUCGAAUUGUACAAAAAUGUUUAAGACAGUGCUGUCAAUCACUCAGCACUAAAUAUGCAUUUCAUUAAUCCCAUUUACAGAAAGAGUUGUCCAAGACACAUUAUAACCAUGAUACAGACGAGAAUGAUGCACCAUUAUUCGUUAAAUAUAAGCCUUUCCCCUGUGUUUUUUUUUGGUCUUUUGAAUCAUUUUAU